AGCCAGCUGGUGCAGUGGUUUGAGCAUUAGACUAUUACUCUAAAGAUGAGGGUUCAAUUCCCAGUUCAGUCA
rnacentral:tRNA from 1 species